rnacentral:rRNA from 1 species
AUUGAACGCUGGCGGCAGGCUUAACACAUGCAAGUCGAACGAGUGGCGGACGGGUGAGUAAUGCUUGGGAAUCUAGCCUAUGGAGGGGGAUAACUACGGGAAACUGUAGCUAAUACCGCGUACCAUAGGAUGAGCCCAAGUGGGAUUAGGUAGUUGGUGGGGUAACGGCGCACCAAGCCGACGAUCUCUAGCUGGUCUGAGAGGAUGACCAGCCACACUGGAACUGAGACACUGUCCAGACGCCUACGGUAGGCAGCAGUGGGGAAUAUUGCACAAGGGGCGCAAGCCUGAUGCAGCCAUGCCGCGUGUGUGAAGAAGGCCUUCGGGUUGGAAAGCACUUUCAGCGAGGAGGCGGUACUCGCAGAAGAAGCACCGGCUAACUCCGUGCCAGCAGCCGCGGUAAUAC